rnacentral:rRNA from 1 species
UGCCAGCAGCCGCGGUAAUACGUAAGUGGCGAGCAUUAUCCGGAUUUAUUGGGCAUAAAGCGCAUGUAGGUGGUUAAUUAAGUCAGAUGUAAAAGACUGCAGCUCAACUGCAGUAAGCAUUUGAUACUGAUUGACUAGAGGUUAGUAGAGGAAAGCGGAACUCACGGUGUAGCGGUGAAAUUCGUAGAUAUUGGGAAGAACACCAGUGGCGAAGGCGGCUCUCUGGUCCAUACCUGACGCUGAGGCGCGAAAGCGUGGGGAGCAAACAGGAUUAGAUA